rnacentral:rRNA from 1 species
AUGGACCAGCCGGCGUCGGACGCCGGCGCCUGCCUCGAGGUCCGCCUCUUCUACGUGCGCCUAUCGCCCCGCAGCUCCGGAGCUGCCGCCCCGCCACGGCUCUCGCUGGCCAUCCACCACGCCGGGACCGAGGCCUCCCCCUCCUCGCUCCCUCUCCGCCUCGACCGCUGCGACCCAGUCUCUGGCGAGGCCACCUACGUCUCUACCGCGGCCGCGCGCCUCCCCCCGCCCGACGCCUCCUUCGAGGUUGCAGACCACCGCGACGCCGCCCUCCUCCGAGGCACCCUUCGAAGGUGCCCUGACGCCAAGGCCGAUUCCCCUGUCUGGGCGAUCGACUGCGUCCCCGCCGAUGCAGCGGCGGCCUCAGCCUCGGCCUUUGAGGUCUAUGUUGCCGGGUACUGCGCAGGUGAGCCCGCCGUUCUUACGCGAGCCCUGCGGCUGGCCACCCCGGAAGAGGCUGCUGGCGGAUUGGUUCGCCGGCGAUCAGCACCUUUGGCGGCUAUGUGUGAUGAAGACGAGAGUGACAUGAACAUGGGAACCAGGGCAUACCCUGAAGGAUGGUACUCUGAUGACGACGACGGGCAACUCACAUGGUUCAACGCUGGUGUUAGGGUUGGCGUCGGGAUUGGGCUGGGAGUCUGUGUUGGAGUUGGUAUAGGCGUUGGGCUCCUCAUGAGCUCCUACCAAGCAACGGCCAGGAACCUGAAGAGGCGGUUCUUCUGA